rnacentral:rRNA from 1 species
UACGGAGGGUGCGAGCGUUGUCCGGAAUCAUUGGGCGUAAAGGGCGCGUAGGUGGCCCCUCAAGCGUGCGGUGAAAGUCAGGGGCUCAACCCCUGAUCGGCCGUGCGAACUGGGGAGCUUGAGCACUGUAGAGGCAGGCGGAAUUCCGGGUGUAGCGGUGGAAUGCGUAGAGAUCCGGAAGAACACCGGUGGCGAAGGCGGGCUGCUGGGCAGAGUUGCUGACACUGAGGCGCGACAGCGUGGGGAGCAAACAGG